rnacentral:rRNA from 2 species
UGGGGAAUAUUGGACAAUGGGGGGAACCCUGAUCCAGCCAUGCCGCGUGUGUGAAGAAGGUCUUAGGAUUGUAAAGCACUUUAAGUUGGGAGGAAGAGCAGUUAACUAAUAUUUGACUGUUUUGACGUUACCGACAGAAUAAGCACCGGCUAACUUCGUGCCAGCAGCCGCGGUAAUACGAAGGGUGCAAGCGUUAAUCGGAAUUACUGGGCGUAAAGCGCGCGUAGGUGGUUCAGUAAGUUAGGAGUGAAAGCCCCGGGCUUAACCUGGGAAUUGCUUCUAAAACUGCUGAGCUAGAGUACGGUAGAGGGUGGUGGAAUUUCCUGUGUAGCGGUGAAAUGCGUAGAUAUAGGAAGGAACAUCAGUGGCGAAGGCGACCACCUGGACUGAUACUGACACUGAGGUGCGAAAGCGUGGGGAGCAAACA